rnacentral:lncRNA from 1 species
GCUUAAUCACAUAUGACCCGGGGCCUGACAGAAAAGGAGAGACAGACACAGAGGAGAACACCAUAUGCAGACAGACACAGGGAGAAGGCUUGUAGAGACGGAGGUGGAGAUCAGAGUGACGUGGCCUCAAGCUAAGGGACGCUUGGAGCCACCAGGAGUUGGGGGAAGCAGAGAGGGAGCCUCCAUAGAGGCCUGGAGGGAGUGGAGCCUCGCCAACACUUUGAUUUCAGACUCCCAGCCUCCAGAACAGUAAGAUAAUAAGUUUCUAUUGUUCCAGGUGACCCUGAUUGUUGUUACCGCAGCCCUAGCAAACUAACACAGAGUGCGUGCCCACUGCUGCCUGGGAUGCUGGCCGAGGGGGCAGGGCUCGGUGGGGAAGCACUUUCCUGAACCUCCCCCCAACUUCCAGGGAAGCAUUUUUCUGAACCCCCUCCACUUCCGGACAAGCACUUUUCUGAACCCCCUCCACUUCCGGGCAAGCACUUUUCUGAGCCCCCUCCACUUCCGGGGAAGCACUUUUCUGAGCCCCCUCCACUUCCGGGGAAGCACUUUUCUGAGCCCCCUCCACUUCCGGGGAAGCACUUUUCUGAACCCCCUCCACUUCCCGGGAAGCACUUUUCUGAGCCCCUUCCACUUCCGGGGAAGCACCUUCCGGAAGCCCCCUCCACUUUUGGGGAAGCACUUUCCUGAACGCCCCCUCCGCUUUCCCCCAUCUGCUCCUCAGCUCAGUGUUGGAAAAUAACGGGAGCCUCCAGUUGCUGAGGAUCUGCUCUUAUCACCUCAGAUCGGAUUUCCAGUGUUCAGGUUCCUGGGGCUUCCUCUCAGGAGGAAAUGAGGGCGCCCUCUUCUGGCGUCCCCAGCAUCGGCCCGUCUGGUCCAUGCCCCUUAGCCCGGAUCUCCGCGGGUCUGCCAUGAAAGCCUUGAGGUCCUCGCCUGCUUCAUCUUGGCAUCACCUCCGCUUCCUAGGGCGGAGCUUCCCCACACAAUAGCCUCUCAGUGCACAUUUGUUGAAUAAGUGAAGGAAUGAAGGAACUGAGAUGACUUUGAAGCUAAAAUGAGUAGACAUCUGACUUUGUGCCUAAGAGAAAAUUCAUCACAAGGCUAAGAUUGUUAAAUAAAGGAACUGGUCCACCCAUCUUUCACACAUGGAAAUUUAUAUUUCAAACUGAAAAAACCCAAAUUGGCACUUUGGUGUCGUACUAUA